CACAUGUGUGGGGCUCUAGUGGUUUCCUGUGUGCCCUCCACACUGCAGCUUCCAGGAAGGCCCAGGAUGGCCUGACUUGAAGCACUCUCCCGUUGUACCAGUAAGAUGCUGGUUAGAUCCUGCAGGGAUCUGGUCAUUGCAGAAAUGGUUGGAGUGAGAGGUGGGGCCGGGAGGGCUUGAACAGCACACUGAGGUGUCUAACACUGCAUGACCUCGGGCAAAUUACCUGACUUCUCUGAGCCUCGGUUUCCUUGGCUGGGUGUUUUAAUUGUUAACACGGUAUUUUUGUUUUCUUUUUUUUAGAUGGGGGUCUCACUCUGUCGCCUGUGCUGGAAUGCAGUGGUGUGAUCUCGGUUCACUGCAGUCUCUUUCACUGCUUUGGUGCCUGUCCAGUAGGAAGUUCUGCCUCUUGGCUGAUCUCACCCUGACAUGCUGCAGUUUUCUGGGCUUCCUUACCCUGUUCCUUCCUCUGCCUGAGGAAGUUGCUUCUCCCCCUCUGGCUGUGGGUGCCCACUGCCUUCUGGGCAGGGUCUGAAGAGGGACGCCAUAUCCAGCCUCCAGCCCCAUCCUCCCGAGUCUGCACUGAGGGUGAUGGGCUCAAGCUCGGGGUUGAGGAGGUGAGUCAGGGAUGGCUGCAGGGGUUGGGCGGAAGUGGCGUGUGUGUCACCAUGCUGUAGAGAAGUGUGUUUUCCUGCCUCCCUCCACCUGACCUGCCCUCAGUGGCUUGGGCACCAGUGCAGCUCUGAGAAGUCUCCCUUACUUAGCUGCUCUUAUUCUCUUCCCAGUAGCCUUGGAUGGCACAGUUUCUGAUGGAGAGCAGAGUGAUCUCUGGGGCUCUGUGCAUCCACUGGGGGACCUUGGCCUUAGAGUAAUUAAUCUCACCAUAAUCAUUGGUAUUUAUGGAACUCUUCCUGCACCAGGCCACACUUGUACAUGUAAUCAGCUCAUUUGCUCCUCAGAACAAUCCCGUUUCAGGGGAUAGUAGUCCUAUCAGGUGGGUUCAAAAAGCAUCCCUGGCCAGACAUAGUGGCUCAUGCCUGUAAUCGCAGCACUUUGGGAGACUGAGGUGGGCAGAUCACCUGAGGUCAGGAGUUUGAGACCAGCCUGGCCAACAUGGUGAAACCUCAUCUCUACUAAAAAUACUAAAAAUUAGCCAGUCAAGGUCGGGCGCGGUGGCUCAAGCCUGUAAUCCCAGCACUUUGGGAGGCCGAGAUGGGCGGAUCACGAGGUCAGGAGAUCGAGACCAUCCUGGCUAACACGGUGAAACCCCGUCUCUACUAAAAAAUACAAAAAACUAGCUGGGCGAGGUGGCGGGCACCUGUAGUCCCAGCUACACGGAAGGCUGAGGCAGGAGAAUGGUGUAAACCUGGGAGGCGGAGCUUGCAGUGAGCUGAGAUCUGGCCACUGCACUCCAGCCCGGGCGACAGAGCGAGAUUCCGUCUCAAGAAAAAAAAAAAAAAAUUAGCCAGGCAAGGGGUCACGUGCACUUGUAAUCCCAGCUGCUCAGGAGGCUGAGGCAGGAGAAUUGCUUGAAC
rnacentral:lncRNA from 1 species